rnacentral:rRNA from 1 species
UACGAAGGGGGGCUAGCGUUGUUCGGAAUUACUGGGCGUAAAGCGCACGUAGGCGGGUUGUUAAGUCAGGGGUGAAAUCCUGGAGCUCAACUCCAGAACUGCCUUUGAUACUGGCAACCUAGAGACUGGAAGAGGUUAGUGGAAUUCCCAGUGUAGAGGUGAAAUUCGUAGAUAUUGGGAAGAACACCAGUGGCGAAGGCGGCUAACUGGUCCAGCACUGACGCUGAGGUGCGAAAGCGUGGGGAGCGAACAGG